AUGAACUCUUGUGAAGCAUGCAAACACUUGGGCAAAACUUCCAAUUACUACUGGAUAGAUCCAGAUGACAGUGGGGCACUGAGGCCUUUGAAAGUUUACUGCAACAUGACAGUCGAUGCUGCGAGGCUGAGGAGGCUGCUACAGGCACACAUUUGAUGGACUUGGGAGCCUCUGCUGCAUGGAGGCCACAGCAAGCCUGGCGAGCACCAACAAAUGUGUCUGUUGCUGGAGAUGGGACCCUCUCUGCUCGGCUGCAGGACCCGCUGAGGACAGGGCUCCCCUCCACUC